UCCAACCCCCAAAUUCCCCCUCCCCCCUUUCUCCCAAAUUCUCAAAUUCUCGAAAUCAUUUUCCCAUAAAAUCAGUUUCCCGCUGGCCCACCAACCUGAUUCGUCCUCUGGCUUUCUCUGUGUCUCCGAAAAGUAUUGUGCUUAAAUUAGUUUAGUCUCUUAUGAAGUUUCCAACUGCAAAGUGCGAGAACCGGUAAGCGACCGGUUGAUAUAUGUAACCCUACUAUCUGAAUUUUUAAGGAAUAUAGAGUGAUUAGAGGAGACAGAGUCGUUGUGAAACUCUCACGGCCUAUUCAGACUUCAAGACUUCAUUCCAAAACUCCAACGCAGUGAAACUCCAAUCCAGGUGUCGGACCCAGUCAUCAGUAGCCGAGUUGAUUGCUGAGAGUCAAGGUAGCACUGCAUUCUUGACCGUGGUCUUGGCGUCUCUUUCCUUAUGUACUGUUGUCUUUAUCUCAGACAGUAUUGUACUUGGUCAUUUUAGAUUUGUAUUUCCGUAUUAGAGCUCAUGACUCUGUAUGUACCAGUUUCUAGGAGAUUUAUCAUGUAUUAACAGUAUUUUGUUAUAUUGAGGUUUCAAACUUAUGCUAUUC